rnacentral:tRNA from 1 species
GCCCGGUUAGCUCACCCCGUAGAGUCGUGGACUUUUAAUCCAACGGUCAAGGGUUCAAGUCCCUUAUCGGGCU